rnacentral:rRNA from 1 species
AUUGAACGCUGGCGGCAUGCCUAACACAUGCAAGUCGAACGAGUGGCGGACGGGUGAGUAAGGUCUGGGAAACUGCCCGAUGGAGGGGGAUAACUACUGGAAACGGUAGCUAAUACCGCAUACCAUCGGAUGUGCCCAGGUGGGAUUAGCUAGUGGGUGGGGUAACGGCUCACCUAGGCGACGAGCCCUAGCUGGUCUGAGAGGAUGACCAGCCACACUGGAACUGAGACACGGCCCAGACUCCUACGGGAGGCAGCAGUGGGGAAUUUUGGACAAUGGGCGAAAGCCUGAUGCAGCCAUGCCGCGUGUGUGAAGAAGGCCUUCGGGUUGUAAAGUACUUUCGGCGGGGAGGCGUUACUCGCAGAAUAAGCACCGGCUAACUCCGUGCCAGCAGCCGCGGUAAUAC